rnacentral:lncRNA from 10 species
CCUUGAGCUGUGGUGGGCUCCACCCAGUUGGAGCUUCCUGGCUGCUUUGUUUACCUAAUCAAGCCUGGGCAAUGGCGGGCGCCCCUCCCCCAGCCUCGCUGCCGCCUUGCAGUUUGAUCUCAGACUGCUGUGCUAGCAAUCAGCGAGAUUCCGUGGGCGUAGGACCCUCUGAGCCAGAAUGUGAUUUUGAAGAAAGGAGGAAAGAUGUGAAAAGUGAUUGGUCAGCCACAUUCAUGGUGUUGAGAAAAGAAUUUGCUUUUCUGGAACAUAGCCUGUGAUAGCAGAACAACACCUGGCAAGAAACAGGUUAUGUUUGGCUGGAGAGUCAUUGGCACUAUCAAGAAAUAUUAAAGUGUAGAUUUGAGAGAGGAGGAGAAAGACCCAAGCAAAAUUGAAAACCAGGUGGGACCCAGACAGCAGCAAAGCAAUGGAAGCAUGUAUUUUGGUCAAUAUAGAGUUAAUACACAAUUUUGCCCCUCUUCUUCUGAUCAUGGGACUCAUAUUACCAGUCUUCACAUUUCCUUUAAAUUCAGGAAUCAGGAAGAAUUUCCAGAGUUUGCAGAUGGACACAUUUGCUGCUUCCAUUCUAAACAUAAGUUAGAAGAACCUUUCAACUGGAUUCCAACUUUAAUAUGUCACAAACAUAAAAAAGAAAGCUAUUUCCUGGACUUUUCUUCAUUAGAAAUUAAUAGAUUGUCAAUUGGCAUAGGGAAAAGAUAAUCAACAGAUGCCAACCCCAAGUUAACAGAAAUGCUAAAAUUAUAAGACAAAGACUUCAAAAUAGCUAUUUUAAUUUUGCCUAGUGAGGUAAAUGCAAACAUGCUCACUAUGAAUGAAAACAGGUAAUCUCAGCAGUCAUGUAAACUAUAAAAAUAAGCAAAUAUAAAUUUUAGAAUUAAAACACAAUAUCUAAAAAUAAAUUCACCUGAUAUUCUCAAUAGAAAAAAUGGUAAUGCAGAGAAAAAUGUAUGAAAAUAUGGCAAUUUGAAGAAGAGAGAAGAGAUCAAUAAAAUAAAUAAGUAUAUCCUUGGAGACCUGUGGAUGUUUUUUGAAAAGUGAAUCAUGUAAGUAAUUGAAGUCCCAGAAGAAAAGAAAAGAAGAGGAUGAGCAGAAAAAAAUUUCUGAAAAAAUAUCUGAAAGCUUAAACACUAUAAUGAAAGACACACAUUUACAAACUCAAGAAGUUUAGUAAACCAAAAACAAUAAAAUCAAAGAGAACUGUGCCAAGCGACAUCAUUUUCAACCUGCUGAAGAUCUUGACAGCAGUCAGAGAAAAAAGACACACUUAUUACACAGAGAGGAACAAUACAUUAAAUACUAGCACACUUCUCAUCAGAGAUCAUUAAGCCCAGAAGACAGUGGAAUGAGAUCUUUAAAGUGCUGAAAUAAAAUAAAUGUUGAUUAAAAAAUUCUAUAGCU